rnacentral:rRNA from 1 species
UACGGGGGGGGGCAAGCGUUGUUCGGAAUUACUGGGCGUAAAGGGCUCGUAGGCGGCCAACUAAGUCAUACGUGAAAUCCCUCGGCUUAACCGGGGAACUGCGUCUGAUACUGGAUGGCUUGAGUUCGGGAGAGGGAUGCGGAAUUCCAGGUGUAGCGGUGAAAUGCGUAGAUAUCUGGAGGAACACCGGUGGCGAAGGCGGCAUCCGUGGACCGAGUACUGACGCUGAGGAGCGAAA